UACGGGGGGGGGCAAGCGUUGUUCGGAAUUACUGGGCGUAAAGGGCUCGUAGGUGGCCAACUAAGUCAGACGUGAAAAUCCCCAGGCUUAACCUGGGAACUGCGUCUGAUACUGGAUGGCUUGGAUUCGGGAGAGGAAUGCGGAAUUCCAGGUGUAGCGGUGAAAUGCGUAGAUAUCUGGAGGAACACCGGUGGCGAAGGCGGCAUUCUGGACCGAGUAUUGACGCUGAGGAGCGAAAGCCAGGGGAGCAAAGCGGGG
rnacentral:rRNA from 1 species